AUUCUCAACCCUCAAUGCUUUAUUGCGUUGCUUGGGGUUGGUCCUUGGGUGCUUGCUGUUUCUUCGGAAACCGCUCACCUCAAAUGCAUUAGCUGGACCCGUGCAUACAUGCGUAGGCGUCCUCAACGUGAUAAAGUCAUUCGUUGAGGCGGCAGGCAACUGCCCUUACCUUCUUGUACAAGCGUCUGCUUCUAACCCGGCGAAAGACUCUUUGCAGUCUGACCCAUGACUUAAAG
rnacentral:misc_RNA from 1 species